GUGCGUGAAGGGCUUAGAGGGCAAAAUGCCAUUCUUCUGACCAAUUCUGAAAAAGGAUAUGAAAGAGAAAGCGAUAUCGUGCAAUCUAGAAGCAAAAGAAACCCUUUCCACCCUGUUUUUCGUUUGCAUCUGAAGACGUCCAGUAAAUGUUGAGCGUUCAGACUUGUUGGUUAUGAAGGCGACCAAAAGCGUGCGUGAAAUACUCCCGAUUCGACCCGAGGAAACGGAGCAAGACUGGUGCUCGACGCACCGUCUCCUUGCGAGCGCGGAAGGCGUCUUACAUCAGCUGCUUUCGGCGCUGUGCGUGGGAGCGCAUCUCAGCGAUUGCUCCUGCUACAAAUACCGCGUUCCGAAAGGUAGCGGAGCAGAGCCGCACGUUCGCCGCUCACUCUCAAGCUCCCAUCGAUCGCCUUUCCACGAUGCAUCGCUGUGCCCUCCUAGUCAUCCUGCUUGCUUUCCUCACGUGCAGCUCCGCACAGCAGGAGAGAUAUCACCGCGUCACCGCAUCAAACUGCUGCCGGAGGGUCUCGUCGGCUAUCGUCCGCCUGAAGAUCACCGCAUACGAGCGCCAGCCCGCCAAGGGCUCCUGCAUUGAGGCCAUCGUGUUCCGCACAGAAAGGGGGAAAGUGUGUGCCAACCCGAGGGCCCCGUGGGUCGCAAAGAAAAUCAAAGGUAUCGGCAAGAAAUCGUUUCAUCUGAAAAAUGUAACCAUUUGACCCCCGAAGGACGGCGUCGCACACCGGACGUGAGUCCGCGGGGUCACUCGGGACGAGCGUCCGCAAGGAGGAGUCACACAUCGGUCAAACUGUUUCCCGACUCACAUUCACAGUUUCCUCACUUGUGAUUCCAACAGCCUUCCAUUCUCACGCUCUUCCUUUCGCUUGCGCAUCACAACCCCUUUCGGACGAUGGACAAGUUAACCGCCUCUGUUUGGGAGGCAAUAACAUUCAUCGCUGACCCGACUUCCUAAACACCCCCUCCACAUACACGCUUUUCUUGUAAUUACAUCACAAAACUAAUCAGAAAACAAAAACUUGAUAGAAACAAUGAACAGAUCGAGCAACAGAUACAAGUUCUCUAAAUAUAAGUAAGGUUUCAUUCAAGAAGGUUCCAUUUGCUGAGAUAAAGAGCGUUAUAAAAUCAUUUGAGAAGUUUAACAGAAUAGAAAAGUAUCAAGCAAAUAAGGCAAUUAAAGAUGUGAAAUAAUGACACAAUAAUGUUUUGCUUUCAUUUCUAGAAGUGAGUGAAUUAGCUGCACGUGUCUGUAUUUUCUCAGGGGUUCCAGAGUUUCCGAAAAGUGACAAGUGAGAGAUGGAAAGUUUCCAGCAACGAGCAAGAAACAAGGGUUCACAGAGUCGUCCCGACCGGCUUCAUCACUUCUUGCGCGAGCGGCUUAGAGCAGCGCUUCUGCAGUUAAGUUUAAAGAACUGCACAAUGCAAAAAUGAUUUCAAAGUGAAACCACCAAUUAACUGACUUCUUUCGCUCAUGCAAUUAUUUUGUAGUAACUGAGAAAAAAUGCUGACUUUUUCUGC
rnacentral:lncRNA from 1 species